rnacentral:sRNA from 1 species
CCCACCUGCAGGGUUGUGAGAAUUACAUGGAAUGAGACAUGCAUCAUGUCCUGGGUAGUGCUUGGCAGGUAGCCCUCGUUAUUGUUACAUAAUGAAGCAUUGAGCAGUUACUGAACACCUGCUGUGGGCCCAACACUGUGCUGGGCCUUGUGGAUGAGGCCAACCUGGGACCAGAACAGCCUUUGGCCUCAGGAGGCUCACAGUCUAAGGAGUAGAGGGGCACAUGUGAGGAUGACACCCCCGUACCCCACCCACACCCAGAAUUGCCGUGGAAAGUUUGCUUUGGGGGAUUCAGGGAGCCUGGCCUCACCUGGCCCUAUCUAGAGUUGAGAGGAGGUCUCUAGGCUGAGGGCAAUCCCUGUGCCCCUCCUGCAGGACAGCUAACCCCCGCAUCGGUGACGUGAUCCAGAAGCUGGCCCCCUUCCUGAAGAUGUACAGUGAGUAUGUCAAGAACUUUGAGCGAGCGGCUGAGCUGCUGGCCACCUGGACCGACAAGUCUCCACUCUUCCAGGAGGUUCUCACUCGCAUCCAGGUGAGGCUGGGGGAGGGCUGGAGUCAGCAUUGCACUCCCAGCAUGCAGUGGCUCAGGUUGCCUUGAGUGAUUCCGGGCAUCUCCCAGGCUCAGCUGCUUCCAUAGGCCCCUGCCUACUCGUCUGGCCCUCAGGAGCAGCCUGACCCACCUCCCUUCUCUCACCCUCUCCGUGUUGCUCCCCCAUCCCUCCCCAAGAGCAGCGAGGCUUCGGGCAGCCUGACCCUGCAGCACCACAUGCUGGAACCAGUGCAGAGAAUUCCACGUUACGAGCUGCUGCUCAAGGAGUACAUCCAGAAGCUGCCAGCCCAGGCCCCAGACCAGGCCGAUGCCCAGAAAGCCCUGGACAUGAUCUUCUCAGCUGCCCAGCACUCCAAUGCAGCCAUCACUGAGAUGGAGCGGCUGCAGGACCUGUGGGAGGUGUACCAGCGCCUGGGCCUCGAGGACGACAUAGUAGACCCCUCUAACACCCUGCUCCGUGAGGGCCCGGUCCUCAAGAUCUCCUUCCGCCGCAACGACCCCAUGGAGCGCUACCUUUUCUUGUUCAACAACAUGCUGCUCUACUGUGUGCCCAGGGUGAUCCAGGUGGGCGCCCAGUUCCAGGUGAGGACCCGCAUCGAUGUGGCCGGGAUGAAGGUGCGGGAGCUGAUGGAUGCUGAGUUUCCCCACUCCUUCCUGGUGUCCGGGAAGCAGCGCACCCUGGAGCUGCAAGCCCGGUCCCAGGA